GAUGAACGCUAGCUACAGGCUUAACACAUGCAAGUCGAGGGGAAACGAUGAGAGAGCUUGCUCUCUCAGGCGUCGACCGGCGCACGGGUGAGUAACACGUAUCCAACCUGCCUUUUUCCAGGGAAUAACCUUGCGAAAGUAAGACUAAUGCCCUAUGUGUCCUCAGACGGCAUCAGACGAGGACGAAAGAUUUAUCGGAAGAGGAUGGGGAUGCGCCUGAUUAGGCAGUUGGCGGGGUAACGGCCCACCAAACCGACGAUCAGUAGGGGUUCUGAGAGGAAGGUCCCCCACAUUGGAACUGAGACACGGUCCAAACUCCUACGGGAGGCAGCAGUGAGGAAUAUUGGUCAAUGGACGAGAGUCUGAACCAGCCAAGUAGCGUGCAGGAUGACGGCCCUAUGGGUUGUAAACUGCUUUUGUACGGGGAUAAAGUGAGCCACGUGUGGUUUAUUGCAGGUACCGUACGAAUAAGGACCGGCUAAUUCC
rnacentral:rRNA from 1 species